rnacentral:ncRNA from 1 species
CAACGGGGUGCUAUGCAAUAUGCUGGCUGAGAGAUACCCGUCGAACCUGAUCCGGAUAAUGCCGGCGAAGGGAUUUGAGG